rnacentral:tRNA from 2 species
UGCCGGUGCUGCGGGAGCUGGCACCGACCGCGCAGUUGGUGGUCGGGAUGUCGCUGGGCGGCCUGACCGCCAUUCGGCUCGGCGCGUUGGCGCCC